AGAUAGAUAAAUAAUUUGCUUAUAUAUGCUUAUAUGUUAUAUACUAAUAGUUGUUUGCAUAUACAUAAUUAUCUCCCUCUUUAGAUCAUAAACUCCUUGAAGACAAGGACUGUCUUUUUGCCUUUCUACCUGGCACAUAAUAGGAAAUAAAAAUAAAUGCUUAUCAGCUUAACUUAAAAUGUCAGUCUAAGGAUUCUACCUUUUAUUCUAUAGGUAUUAAGGAAACCCUGGACUAUUUUUGUGCAGGGAAGUGUCACGUCAGAGCCAAGCAUAAGACAAUUGUUUCUGCAUAAGAACGUAUUGAAGAGAGGAAAAAAUAAAAGAGAAACAUGUAAUAGUCUAGGAAUACGAAUGAGUCCCAGGAAGACUUUGCCAUUAUAAGCACAAGAAAAAGCUGUCAGAAAAGUAAAUUAUGUAAGUAAACAAGAAUAUGUGUAUGUGUGAAUCUAUGAAAUACACCAUAGAAGAUUAAAGAAAACAAUGGCAUUUGUAAACUAGUUCAAACAAAACUACAGAAAAGGAGGGAGGAUACAUAUUUUGAACCAAUCCAAAUUGACUUUACAUAUCCAUUUAAAAAGUAAUUUUGCUGCAAAAAAAUGCAAAACAACUCUAGUUUAGAAAACUAAGGAUUGUUUCCAUUUAGACUAAUAUAGAAUAUUAUGAAGAAUUGUGGGGAUUCAAGUUAAGACUAAGAACAAUAUAACCUUUUUUAGCCCAGAUGAAGGUCCAUAUUUUCAGUGUUUCUUUUCCUCUAUCUAAAUGAAAUAAUAGCAUACUUAAACAUUUAUUUUAAAGGCCCUCCUGGGCAGAUUUGGAUAGGAACUAGAAAACUUUUUUAAUGAAAACUUCUAAAAUUCAAUCCUGGCUUUUUAUUCUGGGAUGUGGACCUAUACCUCAAGAAGAGUGAUUUGGGGUUCAACUGAAAGUGUUGUUACCUUUCUUGCCUGAGGGUUUCUUGUUCCUGCUCUUUAAACCUUUAUCUUCUGUCUUAGGAUCAAUCUAGGACAGAGGAACAGCAAAAGCUAAGCAAGUCAGGUUUAAGUGACUUGCCCAGAGUCACAUAGCUAGGAAGUAUCUGAGGCUACAUUUGAACCCACAUCUUCCUGACUCCAGGUUGCUGGUGAUACUUUUUUUUUUAAACCCUUACCUUCAGUCUUGGAAUCAAUAUUGUGUAUUGGUUCCAAGGCAGAAGAGUGGUAAGGGCUAGGCAAUGGGGGUUAAGUGACUUGCCCAGGGUCACACAGAUAGGAAGUGUCUAAGGCCAAAUCUGAACCUAGGACCUCCUGUCUCUAGGACUGGCUCUC
rnacentral:lncRNA from 1 species